rnacentral:rRNA from 1 species
GGAUGAAUAUUGCACAAUGGGCGAAAGCCUGAUGCAGCAACGCCGCGUGGGGGAUGAAGGCCUUCGGGUCGUAAACCCCUUUUCUGUGGGAAGAGAAAGGACGGUACCACAGGAAUAAGUCUCGGCUAACUACGUGCCAGCAGCCGCGGUAAAACGUAGGAGGCAAACGUUAUCCGGAAUUACUGGGCGUAAAGCGCACGCAGGCGGCUUUGUAAGUCCGACGUGAAAGCUCCCGGCUUAACUGGGAGAG